UACGUAGGGGGCUAGCGUUGUCCGGAUUUAUUGGGCGUAAAGAGCGUGUAGGCGGCCAUGUAGGUCCGGUGUGAAAACUCAAGGCUUAACCUCGAGAUGUCAUCGGAAACCAUUUGACUAGAGUCCGGAAGAGGAGAGUGGAAUUCCUGGUGUAGCGGUGAAAUGCGCAGAUAUCAGGAAGAACACCAAUGGCGAAAGCAGCUCUCUGGGACGGUACUGACGCUGAGACGCGAAAGCGUGGGGAGCGAACAGG
rnacentral:rRNA from 1 species